AUAUAUAUAUAUAUCAACCAGUCUUCUCGAGUGGUUUGGAUGUGGGGGGUUUGCUGGCCUUUACAAAGGGUCCAGCUCUCCUGAAAUGCAUUAGCGGAACAACCUGUUCAUUCAUUGGUGUGAUAACUAUCUACGCUAUUGAGUGUGAGGCAGUUCAGCUUCCUAACAGUCCCUUGGACGAUUCAUCAUUUU
rnacentral:misc_RNA from 1 species